rnacentral:snRNA from 1 species
GUGCUCGCUUCAGCAGCUCAUAUACUAAAAUUGGAACGGUACAGAGAAGAUUAGCAUGGCCCCUGUGCAAAGAUGACACGCAAAUUCAUGAAGCAUUCCCAAAAAAA